rnacentral:rRNA from 1 species
UACGGAGGGUGCAAGCGUUAUCCGGAAUCACUGGGUUUAAAGGGUGCGUAGGCGGUUUGAUAAGUCAGUCGUGAAAUUCCCCGGCUUAACCGGCGGGACUGCGAUUGAUACUGUUGAACUUGAAUCAGGUUGAGGUAGGCGGAAUGUGGCAUGUAGCGGUGAAAUGCUUAGAUAUGCCAUAGAACACCGAUUGCGAAGGCAGCUUGCUGGACCUGUAUUGACGCUGAGGCACGAAAGCGUGGGGAGCAAACAGG